AGCGAGCGAUCUGAAUUUGUCCUUUUCGCUAUUGGGCGAGCUAAUGAAGAAUGUUUAGCACCGCAGUCUUUCUUCCUUCGCUUCGCUGCUCAGUGCUCCUAGACAAGUCUUUUUGUUGGACAAUCCUAAUGUCACUCAACAUCUGGGAUGAAUCUGGACUGUUACUGUUCAGAAGUUAAGUGACACUGGCUUCCCCAUUGACUUUGCUUAUCAGAAGGUCACAAAAGGUGGCCACAUGAUUCUGAGACACUGCAACUAUCAUAAAUACAUGCCAGCUGCCAAACAUCUGAAUAUUGAUCACAUGACCACCGGGGAAUUCUGCAAUGGUCAUAAAUGUGAAAAACUUAUGCUGCCUCUUUCUAGGGUAGUGUCAUGGUCCCGUUGGAACCUGGGUCCAAGGAGGAGGAUGAGACGGAGCUAGGGGUGACAGAGGAAGAUGGCACGGCCUCUCUGGUCCUGGAGGAACAACUGGAGGAGCAGGAUGAGGCAGUCCAAGGUCCCUUUCCAAGGCUGGGAAAGGGUCGCCAGCAACGGAGAGAGGUUGCAGGAUGACCAAGCAAGGGGGAGGAGAGAGCAGGCAGCGAACAGAGGGGCAAUGGAGCUCUGGUGACAACCAAUUACCUCCCUCCCCCGUUUGCAUGGAGAAUGGAGAGGAGGCAGAGUCAGCACAGGGCGACCUGAUGACUCAGGAGGAGAGAGCCCCACCCCUCUUCAUAAGGCUUAAAGGAAAUAAAUAAAGGUUAUUCUUUUAUAAAUUGUAACAAAUAUAAUACCAAAGUGUGAGACUAUCUGUUUGCUGUUUUCUGACUAUGCAAAGUGACUACAAUUGGUAAUGUAAUCAAUUGUGGAGACAAUGUAUUAUGACUUGAUAAGAGCUCCCCAGAGACAGAAACUUACGCCUGAGCCAAAAAUCCUAUCAGGAGACAGGAACAUCGGCCCAAGGUGAAAAUUAUAAGUAAAUAAGAAAAGAUAUCAGAGAAUGGACGGAAAGUGCCAAGAUGACCCUUAAAGGUGUAAAACAACUAAAAGGACAAAGUGGGUAAGGGGGGAAUUUCUUAGGUGUGGCGUGCAUUGUGUAGGAGUAUAAAAUGUGUAGCUUGAAAACUGCUUCUUGCGCUCUUUGAGCUCAAUCCAAUUGGGAAGAGUCUAAGAGG